CAUAUCUGCUGUUACGCAGCUUUUUCUUUCUUCUCAUCUUAUCUUAUCAGUCUCUCACUUUAUUGUUUUUCAUCUACACCGAUCGACUUCACAAGAUCGAUCGAUUGACCUCGCGAGAUCGACUCUCUCUCAUUGCAAGAUUGACCGAUCGACCUCACUCUUUCAUCGCACCGAUCGACCUCACAGAUCGACCGAUCAACCUUACUCUCUCAUCGCACCGAUCGACCUCACAAGGUUCAUCAACCAAAUGCAUGGAAUUAAAAUUUUUGGAACUUGGAUGUGAUUAAUGAUGAUGGAGUUUGAGAUAUUGUAUUGUUGCAAAUGUUUUUAUUUUAUUUGACAACAAUUUUAUUUUUAUUGCAUUUUGAAUGAAUGUAAUAGUUAAUGAAGUUUGUUUGACAAUAAUUUUAUUUUAUUUUUUUUCAUUUUAUUAUUGCAUUUUGAAUGAAUGUAAUAGUUAAUGAAGAAUUACUUUUAGGUAAGUUUAGGAUUUUGAAUGAUUUUACUUUAAUUUUGUAUUAUUG